rnacentral:rRNA from 1 species
AACAACGGAUCUCUUGGCUCUCGCAUCGAUGAAGAACGCAGCGAAAUGCGAUAAGUAAUGUGAAUUGCAGAAUUCAGUGAAUCAUCGAAUCUUUGAACGCACCUUGCGCCCUUUGGUAUUCCGAAGGGCAUGCCUGUUUGAGUGUCAU